GACGAACGCUGGCGGCGUGCCUAAUACAUGCAAGUAGAACGCUGAAGGAGGAGCUUGCUUCUCUGGAUGAGUUGCGAACGGGUGAGUAACGCGUAGGUAACCUGCCUGGUAGCGGGGGAUAACUAUUGGAAACGAUAGCUAAUACCGCAUAAUAGCAGUUGUUGCAUGACAACUGUUUGAAAGGUGCAAUUGCACCACUACCAGAUGGACCUGCGUUGUAUUAGCUAGUUGGUGGGGUAACGGCUCACCAAGGCGACGAUACAUAGCCGACCUGAGAGGGUGAUCGGCCACACUGGGACUGAGACACGGCCCAGGCUCCUACGGGAGGCAGCAGUAGGGAAUCUUCGGCAAUGGACGGAAGUCUGACCGAGCAACGCCGCGUGAGUGAAGAAGGUUUUCGGAUCGUAAAGCUCUGUUGUAAGAGAAGAACGAGUGUGAGAGUGGAAAGUUCACACUGUGACGGUAGCUUACCAGAAAGGGACGGCUAACUACGUG
rnacentral:rRNA from 1 species